rnacentral:tRNA from 1 species
GGGGUUGUGGCUCAGUGGUAGAGCACUUGCCUCACACAUAUGAGGUCCUGGGUUUGAUCCUCAGCACCACA